AUACUUACUUGGUAGGGGAGAUACCAAGAUCACAAAGUUGGUUUCCCAGGGCGAGGCUUAUUCAAUACACUCCAGGUGUGCUGACCCCUGCGAUUUCCCCAAAUGUGGGAAGCUCGACUGCAUACUUUGUGGUAGAGAGAACUGUGUUCGUGCUCUCCCCUU
ensembl:snRNA U1 U1 spliceosomal RNA